ensembl:lncRNA
GUGCUCCACAGUCAGGUAUUUGUGCUCACAAGUCAUUAUUUUCCUGGUGAGGUGAAAGGGGCUGUCAAAGAAGGUGAUGAUAAGGGACCCGUGAACACAGAUGAGAUAGAGAGGAGGGGGAGAAAGAAAAAAGAGAAAUGAAAGCAAUAGGAUGAGAAGGUUAGAAAGGGAGGUGAGACAGAUGUAGAGCAAAAGGAGAGGUGGAAGAGAAAAUAGACGAGAGAGAGAGAGAGAGAGAGAGAGAGAUAUGAUGAGAGAGAGAUGGGGGGAGAGAGAGAGAGAGAGAUAGAUGGUGAGAGAGAGAGAGAGAGAUGGUGAGAGAGAGAGAUGCCAAUAAAGCCCUGUGAAUUGAAUUGAAUGGAGAGGGAGAGAGAGAAAUGGAGAGAGAGAGAAAGAGAGAGAGAGAUGGUGUGGGAGAGAGAGGUAGAUGGGUAAUAGGAUUUACUGUAGAUACUCAAAUGGCAGGUCAGAGCAGGACAAACAGGUUCCCAUGCCCUUCUCUUUACCCUGCUCCUCUCUUCCCGCCUUCUUGGCACAAUCCAGCCUGCAGCCCCACAUCUCUGCCAGGGCCAGUGUCAUUUCUAACAGCUGCUUUUUAAUCCACAGGAUCUUCAUUAACCCCCAGGAAAGACGCAGAGGACACAGGAAGAAAGGAGGAGAGAGGAAGAGAGGAGAGAGCAGGGCAGAUCGGGGGAGAGGGCCACAGAGCAAUCACAGACCUCAUUAUGAACACUGAAAGACCUGGCCAGAUGAGAUGGAGGGGAGAGAGAGAGCGAGAGCCACCCGAGGGACACUGAACACACACAGCCUGCAGGCUACAGCUCCACACCAGACAGAGCAUGGGCUGUUCACUACAUUGGCACUUUGUGAUGGCACCUCCGCACUGUUCGUCCAACCAGGAUGAAGAGCAGUGCUGCCAGCAGGAAGAAGAAGACGGAGAAGGGAGCAAACAGGAAGGAGGUGGUAGACUGUUGGACACUGAGAGGAGUGUUGUUGCUGGGCAGCGUAGUCCUCCAGAGUGUCCAGUACCUGGGUCCAGACUACAUACAUCAUUAUUACAACCAGGAGACAUAGACCUGGAGAGAGGAGAGGGAGAGGGGGAGGAAGAGGGAAACAUUUAAACUCAAUAAAAGUUAAUAGAACAUAAAUGCGUCUCCUGAUUAGUGGCAACUUGUCAUUCAGGGCAGGUGGGGUUGCCUGUUUGCAUGUUAUUUUGGCAUUAAUACAUGUCACAUAUCAGUUUGAAAACAAUGUAAAAAAUAUAUAUAUAAUAAUGUUAAUAAAGCCGCAUACAAGCUUGG